UGCGUAGGGUGCAAGCGUUGUCCGGAAUUAUUGGGCGUAAAGAGCUCGUAGGCGGUCUGUCGCGUCUGCUGUGAAAACUCGGGGCUUAACUCCGGGCCUGCAGUGGGUACGGGCAGACUAGGGUGCGGUAGGGGAGACUGGAAUUCCUGGUGUAGCGGUGAAAUGCGCAGAUAUCAGGAGGAACACCGAUGGCGAAGGCAGGUCUCUGGGCCACUACUGACGCUGAGAAGCGAAAGCAUGGGGAGCGAACAGG
rnacentral:rRNA from 1 species